UGGCAUUUGAUGAAGUGUUUUGGGCAAAAAAACAAGUUGAAAAGGUAAAAGAUAUCUUCAAAUCAUUCUUCUUCGCUAAAGUCCAUGUGCUCUUCAUGAUUAACGUUUAAUUUAAUCCAUAAAUUAUUUCCAAUUUCUGCACAAAUUAUUUUUCACGAAUUUUUCAAAAGUGGUGCUCACUCAAGCAGAAAGAUUUUUCAACAGUUAUACCAUCGUUCGAUUAAAGAGACCUGUACCAAUGUAUAAAUGUGGAAAAAGCUUCAGGAUAUUACAAAUAUAUAAUUUCAUAGGAUAAUUUAAAAGUGUAAUUUUUUUUGGAUACACACACUAAAGGGUUAAUUGGGCAUGGUAAUUAAUUGCAAAUCUAUGCACAAUAACCUUGACAACAUCCAUAAGAUUUCACGAUAGCCUUCAGUGGAAUGAAAACCGGUCAAGGAUUUGUUUUUUUAUAAAAAAUAACACAUUGGCUUGGGGCAAUUGUGCCCCCCCAAAUUAUCAAAAGUCUUGGAAAAUGGCCCUUCACUUUAAUGUAAAACCUUAUCAAAUGUUGCAGAUUUUGGUGGUAGAUUAUGAAUAGCAGCCCCUGAAAAAAAGAAACUGUUUGACUGGUUUUCCCUCAUUGCUUGAGUCACAUCAUUGGGUUCAUUGAUCUCUGUAAAUUCAACGCUGAACUUAACUGGUUCACCAGAGUGUGUAACAACCAAGAACUUGAAACCAAUCAUUGCAUCAUGUUUGAAAUUGCAUAGCGCCCUCGCAGAGUAUAAACAGUCCAUCGAAUGGUGGCCUCCAUUGUUGGAGAUAUUUUGAAUUUGAAAGUGAGGGGUUGCAAAAUGCUAUUCCCCCUCCAAUUCGUUGAUCAAUUAAAUGUGGUUUGGAAUUCAAUUUUAUUUGCAUAGAAUUUAAAGCAAAGACAAUGAAGAAUGACAUAUAUCCGGGAUGCAAGGGGGAAUAUAUUUCAGUUAUACAACAUAAUCCUAAAAUAUCAUACAAAUAUGCCAUUUGCUACAAUUCAAAUUAAGUAUUUUGCCUUUCAUGAAAUAAAAUCAUAUCAGUACAAAAAAAAUAGUAAAUUGCAAGUAUAAUGAAUAUAAAAAUUGCAAAUGCCUGUAAGUCAAUGGUACUGUUUUUUUUCUAAAAAAAGGUAACACCAACAAAUGUGAGAUGAAACCAGAUUUGCACAUAAAACAAAGAAAGAUGUUAUAUGAGAUUGAUCACAUCCAUCAAGUAGUAGCUUGAGAUGUGCUUUAAGACCUUGUCUCCUGGAAGUUGAUCAUAUCUUUAGUAUUAAGGCCUUAGGAAUGAUCCAUGGGCUAGACAUACGUUCUAGGAAACGGCAAGAAUGUAUUUGACAAAACUUUGGGUUUCUGAGGUUCUUUUCAGGUCCAAAGAGAGAAUUCAUGGUGUAACAUGAAACCUCUGCAUUGAUUAAUUCUUUGCUAAGGGAACCUUUAUACUAGCAGUUCCAUACAGUAAACCAAGAAAUCCAUUUUCAAUUCUCAUUCUCUCAUGUGGGAUACAG